AGGCUCCGGACGCGCAGGCCCAGCGGCCAUGGCUCACGGUCCCAGCUGCUCCGCGGCACGUGAAGUCCCCCUGGACCGGGGCACGAACCCGCGACGCCUGCAUCGGCAGGCGGACUCCCAACCACUGCGCCACCAGGGAAGCCCACAACCACUUUUUAAAUGGAAGCUUGCGGGAUCUUAGCUCCCUGACCAGCGCUCAAACCCAGGCCCCCUGCCGUGGAAGCACAGAGUCCUAACCACUGGACCACCAGGGAAUUCCCUGACUGACGCCUUCUGACUGCUGAGAGCCACACUGUGCAGCUUGUGGGAUCUUAGUUCCUGGACCAGGGAUUGAACCCAGGCCCACGGCAGUGAAAGCCCCAAGUCCUAACCACUGGACCGCCAGGGAACUCCCACUGAUAUCUUUUGUGCCAAGCAUUUUCCAUGAGUUAUUUUAGUUUUUGCCAUAACUCUGGCACAUGGCUAUUACUGCCCCUAUUUUAUGCUGAAGAAGUGGAAGUUCAGAGAUAUAUGAAGUAGCUUGCCCAAGGUCACCCUGUUAGGUAAAAGCUGUGAUUAUUGCAGUCUGAUAGGACUCAGUGUCCUUCCUCUUCCCUACACCAUGCCAUUGUACUCACAAAUCAUCCAUUUGAUGGUCUGGUUUAGAAUUCUAGCUGAGUUAAACAUCAAGAUUCCUGGCUGUUGGUUUGUGUUACUGAUAUCUUUCCCCUCUUUUGAAAAUCAUGAUUUCAUUUGUCUGUCUUUUGUACCUCUUCUCCAAGGAGUCAGGUGGCUUAGAGCUCAUUGGCAAAUUUUCUCAAUUUCUUCGUCCAAGUCAGAUCAGACGUGACUUAGUUCAAAGCAGCAUGAUGCUUUCUUAAAAUCUCACACCUCCAAUGUCAGGUUUCAAUUUUCUCUCACCAGUGUUGGUUAUAAAACAAACCUCAGGGACUUUCCUGGUGGCACAGUGGUUAAGAAUCCGCCUGCCAAUGCAGAGGACAUAGGUUCGAUCCCUGGUCCGGGAAGAUCCUACAUGCCACAGAGCAACUAAGCCUGUGAGCCACAGCUACUGAGCCUGCGUGCCACAACUACUCAAGCCUGCUCACCUAGAGCCCGUGCUCCGCAACAAGAGAAGCCACCACAAUGAGAAGCACGUGCACCGCAAUGAAGACUAGACCCCACUCGCCGCAACUAGAGAAAGCCCGCGUGCAGCAACAAAGGCCCAACGCAGCCAGAAAUAAAUAAAUAAAAUAAAUAAAUUUAUAAAAGAAAAAAACCCCGUAAUGCAAAUAAAAACAACCAUGAAACACUGUUUUUAAUCUAAGAAGUUAUCAAAUAUAAAUAGUCUGAUUAUAUACUUUGUGGAGAAACAGACCUCUCAAACAUGAUUAAUAAGAGGAUACAUCUGCACUGCCUCUUUGGAGGAAGGAGAAAUUUGCUACACUGAUCAAAAUUCAAAAUGCCCACACCCUUUGACCCAACAAUUCCAUUUCUAGAUCCUACAGGCUUGGUGACACGUGCACACAAAGAUGUAUGCACAAUCAUAUGCACUGAAAUGUUGUUUUUAUAGCAAAAGACUGUGAAUAAUCUACAUGUCCACCAAUAGGGGAACUGAUUAAAUAAAUUAUGGCAUAUCCAUAUAAUGGUAUACUCAGCAGCUGUGAAAAUAAAUGAACUAGUUAUGUACAAACUGACUCGAAACAUUCUCCAAAAUAUGUUGUUAUGUGAGGGCUUCUUGGUGGUGCAGUGGUUGAGAAUCCGCCUACCAGUGCAGGGGACACGGGUUUGAUCCCUGGUCCAGGAAGAUCCCGUAUGCUGCAGAGCAGCUAAGCCCAUGCGCCACAACUACUGAGCCCAUGUGCCAUAACUACUGAAGCCCACACACCUAGAGCCUGUGCUCCGCAACAAGAGAAGCCACCACAAUGAGAAGCCCACGAACCGCAACGAAGAGUAGCCCCUACUCGCCACAACCAGAGAAAAAAGCCCGCGCGCAGCAACGAAGACUCA